rnacentral:sRNA from 1 species
CUUAUUAGGUCUGGUUAAUAUUUUGUUAAGGACUUCCUUUUAGAAAUCCAUUACAUAAGCAAGAGACUUGGCCUCUGUGGUAAUUGCAAACAUUAAGUACGAUGAUGGUUCGAUGCAUCACACAACUGGAGACAAAAACAACCUGAUGUGACUUUGAGCAACAUCUGAGUCACAGAAGAGAAAUUCAAAUGAAUGCUCAACAUACUGGAAGAGGACACAACGGAAAAAGGAUCUCAAAGCCAGGGAUGAACUUCUCUCUCCCACCCUGCUGAAAAGGUGUCUUUUCAUCUGGAAUAGCUCAGGAUCUUCUACCUCUGACCUUGUGCACACUUCAAAACAGUCCUCUCCCAAUGUCGCAGGCGCAUCACAUCUGAUCUAAAUGAUUUGUUCCUGGCAAGGGUUCCAACUUUGCAGAGAACACUGGGAAGCUACAACUCUCCAAAGCAAGGCCUAGGAUUAUAAGAUGCCCAUCGGCAUCAAAGAGGACCAGCCAGGUACCAUGCCUGGUCACCAAUUCACGUGCCUUGUCUUCAGGAAAUCUCCUUGAAGAGAGUCCCAGACAAGUCUGAGCACCCUAGACCCAGUCAAGGGGCGUGUGCAGCUAUCAAUCAUCACAGGUCCCAACAUUCGGAACUCAUGAGCUACUGAGUGCUUGAGCACUCGCUUUCACAGGCGUGGACUCAUUUCAAAGCCUGCUGCAAAGGCCUGGAGAUAAGGGUUUGCUGGACUAGUGCCUGUGUAGCAUGGAUGAUGGCCCUGAGUGCAGUCCCUACCACUGCAGAGAGAAGUUAAUUGUGUUUAAAAAG